UACGUAGGGUGCAAGCGUUGUCCGGAAUUAUUGGGCGUAAAGAGCUCGUAGGCGGUUUGUUGCGUCGGCUGUGAAAUCCCGAGGCUCAACCUCGGGUCUGCAGUCGAUACGAGCAAACUAGAGUGUUGCAGGGGAGACUGGAAUUCCUGGUGUAGCGGUGAAAUGCGCAGAUAUCAGGAGGAACACCCGGUGGCGAAGGCGGGGUCUCUGGGCAACAACUGACGCU
rnacentral:rRNA from 1 species